AUGCAGACCUAGACCUCUGCAAAACAAUAAAGCGGAAGAAAUUUGGGUCCGCCCAUGUGCUCUUACUGCACUGCGUCCUCCCUUCAUCUCCUUUCUGAUCUUUAUGUUUUUCUGUCUCUGUUUCCCCCGUCAACACAUACACGCAGUGCGAGAUACCAGCCACAGCAUCUUAAGACUUAAAGGUUAUCCAACCCCAUCCUCCCACUGCUGCUUCAACAAUGUGCUUAAAGCGUAGUGCCGCAAUCACUGCUUAGAAUUUAAAGAUGGAGGAAUCAUCAUGGCACCUUUAUUUAUGUGGGACUGGAUAAACCAGGAGUAGUUUGGAUCUGCUCAAGCAAACAGCCUGUGGACAGCUCCAUAACCAGAUUUGCAAAAGAGGCUGAGGAUUUUUGGACACAGCUAUCAGAUAUAUUUUAAAGAACUCAAGAGGAGAAGACAAGGCUAUUAUUUUUACCAAGGUAUUUAUCAUUUAUGUUGAUCUUCCUUCAUUCCUAAUAGUCUAAGUUUCCACUGGUAUAAUUUCC